CUGGAAGUGACGAUAAGCUAUACCUUGACUGUCCAUGAUGUUCAAGUAUUCAUACUGUCUGAUCCAG